UACGUAGGGGGCCAGCGUUGCUCGGAAUUACUGGGCGUAAAGGGUCCGUAGGCGGUGUGGCAAGUCGGAAGUGCAAUCUCAGGGCUUAACCCUGAGGCUGCUCCCGAAACUGCCGUGCUAGAGUGCGAGAGAGGCGAGUGGAAUUGCAGGUGUAGCGGUGAAAUGCGUAGAUAUCCGUAGGAACAUCCGAGGCGAAGGCGGCUCGCUGGAUCACAACUGACGCUGAGGGACGAAAGCUAGGGGAGCAAACCGG
rnacentral:rRNA from 1 species